rnacentral:rRNA from 1 species
CUACGGGGUGCUCCAGUGAGGAAUAUUGCACAAUGGGGGGAACCCUGAUGCAGCAACGCCGCGUGGAGGAUGACGCAUUUCGGUGUGUAAACUCCUUUUAUAUGUCAAGAAAAUGACGGUAGCAUAUGAAUAAGCACCGGCUAACUCCGUGCCAGCAGCCGCGGUAAUACGGAGGGGCAAGCGUUACUCGGAAUCACUGGGCGUAAAGGACGCGUAGGCGGGUUGGAAAGUCAGGUGUGAAAUCCUACAGCUUAACUGUAGAACUGCACUUGAAACUUCUAAUCUAGAGUAUGGAGAGGGAGGUGGAAUUAGUGGUGUAGGGGUGAAAUCCGUAGAUAUCACUAGGAAUACCUAAAGCGAAGGCGAUCUCCUGGAACAUUACUGACGCUAAGGCGUGAAAGCGUGGGGAGCAAACAGGAUUAGAUACCCCGGUAGUC